UUGAGUGUGAGUGUGUGUUUGUUUGUUGUGGCAACCCGGUUCUGUAAGAGACUGUUUGUCACAGCAAGUACCACGCUCGGGAUUCUGGUUUAAGCCGCAGUCGGCGUUUAUUCACAAGAAUAGGCAAAAGAAUAAGGUAUAUAUCACUGUGCUAGGGUCUCCGUGAGCCUCGUAGCAUGGGACGUGUCGAUGGCCUCCUCCUUGUAGGUCUGACUGCCUCUCCCCUGGAAUGAGUCCUCGGCUGCCUUUUAAGAUGUCCGCCCGCUCCUUUCCUCCCUCCGGCCAGGUGUUCCCCAUCUGGCUGAUGAGGGUGAGGAAUGUAGUGCUCUUUGCCUCCGGCUAGUGGAUGGCGGCGGUACACGCCCUCCACAACUCGCCCCCGGAUCCCCCUGGUGGGGAGCACCUUACUGACGUAUGGUCGUGGGACCACUAAUUGUUCCGUCACCUCCCCCUCUUUUUCCACUACUCAGUAGAGCAGUCCCCCCCUGGUGCUAAAAUGUGGGUGCGGUAAGCAACUCACGAGUCCUGGGUUUGUCCGUCGUGGGCGAGGACGUGGCUCCAGGCAUGCUUUAGGGCGGCGUCCCGUAGUUGAGCACUGGCGAACUGGCCCGUCCGAGUAGUACCUACUCCCCCUGCCGGUAGGAAGUCCGAGAAGUCGGUGAGGGGAGAACUAUCGGGUGGGUUGUUAAGGUGCCCGUUAAGGUGUCCAUUGUGCCUGGGGGAGGCCCCUGCGAUCCGGACCGGGCGGACCCCCCUGCUGUGUGGAUCGGGGAACCCGGUGGCGUGGGCCCGUUCCCUUUGGAGCCCUGAUCCUCGGCCGUCGUCUCCCCCGGGGUCGCCGGACGCUGCGUGGCCCCGUAGGCCGGUCAAGCCAUCCUCCCAGCUCGGCGGGGAGGCUCUCUCUGGGGCCGGGGUCCCCGCUCCUGGUUCCACAGCCGAUUAAAUAUCGCGCAAUCCCACCCAAUCAGGAGCGGUACCGGAAGGUGGGGGAACUAUCCCUGCCCGGGCCGUGAACACCACGUAGGGGGUCCGGACGACCACAUGGCAGGUCCCGUAGGUACGGGUGUCCCUGUGUACGCAGGCAACCUCCAUCGGCCCCCCCUCCUUUCGCCUGCCAAGUCGGGGCGGAGAAGGGUUACCACGCUGCCAGUGUCCAGGAGGGCCUGCGUGUCCCGGUUCAUGACCCGCGCCGGUAUUGUCAGGGUCCCGGACAUCCCCUGCGCCCAACAGGUGGCCAGCAAGCAGGUUCGGCGCAUCCCCUCGUCCGCUUAGGCCAACGGCAUCGAUACAUCCCGGUCUCCGGGGCAGUAUCGUGCUAUGUGUCCGGUCUGGCCGCAGGUGUAGCACCGCCUCCCCUCGCGGCCCUCCUGGGUCACGAUCGGCGGUUCCGCUGGGGGUGUCUGCCGCGAGGUCAUGGGUCUCCUUCGGUCUCGGCGGGUCUCUGUAGGCCGCGGGAUGGUCCGGGGGCUGGCACUCAGCUGCUGGGCUACCUGCCAGUUCUCCAGCUGCCGGAUAAGAUCAUCCACUGUGUCGGGAUGAUGGUGGGCCAGAACCCUCCGCGCAUCUGGCGGAAGCUGGCGAAUGGUGUGGUCUAUAAGAACCCGGUCCUGUGGGCUGGGCCCCUCGCCGGUCGCCAGCCACCUUCUUACCAGGCGGCCAUGCUGGGCGAUCUGUGUUCGUACCGCACCCCGGAUGUCGAAUCGCCAGUCGUGGAAACGUUGGGCCCUGGCCGCGAGGUUGUGCCCGUAGUAGGCCGGUAUAGCCUGUUUGAGGGCGGGAUACUGGUCGGCGGUCUCGGUCGAGAGGUCCUGGCUCACCUGCUGUUCGGGUCCGGUGGGGAUGUGGGCCAACUGGUCCUCCGGGCAGCUCUCCCUCCGGGCGGUCCGUUCAAAUACCUCUAAGUAGGCCUCCACGUCGUCAUCUGGGCCGAGGUUAGUGAGCCGGCUGGUCGGGGCGGCGGUCGGGGAGUCGCGGACGGCGUGCUGGGUGAGUCGGAGCACUGCUUCGCGGAGCAGGGCAACACUCUCCGUAGUGUCCCGCUGUAUUGCGGCGGCCUGCCCCUGGAGUUGCUGUUGACACUGGACGGCAGCAGCCCCAUCUGGGUUCUGCAUGAUGUGAGCGGGUACUUCACCGUGGGUUGUAGUGGAUUCCAAGUGCCUGCGUUCUCCACCAUAUGUGGCAACCCGGUUCCAUAAGAGACUGUUUGUCACGGCAAGUACCACACUCGGUAUGCUGGUUAUAAGCCAGAGUCUGCGUUUAUUCACAAGAAUAGGCAAAAGAACAAGGUAUAUAUCACUGUGCUAGGGUCUCCGUGAGCCUCGUAGCCUGGGACGUGUCGAUGGCCUCCUCCUUGUAGGUCUGACAGCCUCGCCCCUGGAAUGAG
ensembl:lncRNA